rnacentral:rRNA from 1 species
AAAGGUGACAUGAUUUGAAAAAGUUAUAAAUGAUAUUAAUAUUAAUAUAUGGAUACUCAUAAAUUAUAUAUAUAGAUAAUGUAUAUAUAAGACUUAUGUUAUAGAGAGGAUAAAUUAGUUUGGCAUAUGCCGGUCCUAGCUAGAAAUAGUAUAUAAAAAAGUAUGUGAAUUGAAACAUCUUAGUAACAUAUGUAAAAACCAAUAGGGUUAACAGUAGUAUCGGUGAGAGAAUCUGUUGUUGUAUACAAGUAAUACUUUGAAGUAUGAAUAAAGUAGUAUCUACUACUAAUACAUAAACUAUAACAUAAAGUUAAAAGUACUGUAAAGGAAAGAGUGAAAGUAUCAAAUUAUAAAUAAUAAUUUAUAUAAGAGAUAUAAUGAAAUAUAUUAAUAAAGAGCAACUAUAGUAUAGUGUACCUCUUGUAUAAUGGGUCAGUGAGUUAUUUUUAUAAGCGAAAUUUAAAUUAUAUAUAAUAAGAAAAAGUUUAUAGGAAUAGACCCGAAAGCACAUGAUCUAUAUAUGUAUAGAUAUAUAUUAAAAGAAAUAUAUGAUCAAAUAGGUAGAUGUAGCAAUAUCUUCUAAAGAUAUGUGUAUAGUAGUGAAAGGCAAAACUGAUGUGCAGAUAGCUGGUUAUCUACGAAAUAUAUGUUAGUAUAGCCCUUAUAAAAGCGUACACCUUGGUAAAGCACUUAAUACCAUAUGGGAAUAAAUUUAUUUACUAUAUGUAUUAAAUCUCUGAACAAGAGUGAUAUGACAUAUAAGGAGUCAGACUUAUUGCGAUAAGGUAAUAGGUCGAAUAGGGAAUAACCUAGACUAUUAAAUGAAGGUCCCAAAUCCUCAUUAAGUGAAUACAAUCCUAUGGGUAGAUAAAUACCCCAUUAUAUCCCUUAUCGGGAUUAUUUUGAUCAGACAAUUAGUCAGUGGGUUUGAUAAUAAUCACCUGUUAAAGAACAUGUAAAAAUGCACUAAUAGAAUUUAUAUUUAUAUUAUAAAUAUAUAAAUCAAAAGAUAGGAACAAAUAUACGGGUCUAAAUGUAGGAACCGAAUAAUAGAUAUAAUAUUUUUAUAUUAUAUAGUAGUAGAUUAUAUAGUGAUAAGAACUAUAAAGACAAUGCUGACUUGAGUAACGAUAGGUAAUUAAGGAUUACCCCUACAAAACAUAAGGUUUAACUAUAAAUUAACGGUAUCUAAGUAUAUAUAUGAAGAUAUAUAUAUGAUGAUUGAUAGUACAGGAAAAUGUAAUAACCGUACCGCAGUCCGACCCAGGUGUGUAAAUGAUUAUAAUAAAUAAUCAUAAUAUUAUUAAAUAAAUAAAAUAAUAUUGAGUAGGAAUGGGUGAAGUAUCAUAAAUGAACUCGGCAAAUAAGGCAAGGCCUGAAUAGUACGACUGUUUACCAAAAACACAGCUUACUGCAAAUAGGAAACUAUCGGUAUAGUAAGUGAUAUCUGUCCGGUGUAAGUUAGAUAAAUAAAUAAUUGACUUAUAAACGACGGUCUUAUCAUGAGGAUCUGAAAGUAGCAAAAUUCAUUGGCAUAUAAUUGGUGUCCCGCAUGAAUGAUUAUACGAUACUAUAGCUGUAUCUAUGGUAUACCCAGUGAAAUAGUAAUCGCAGUGAAGAUACUGUGUAGUCAUAGAUUGACAAAAAGACCCUAUGCAGCUUUACUAUAUUCUUAUACUGUUAUAUCUAUAAAUAUUUAAAUUAAAUAUUUUUAUUAAUAUGUUUAUUUCUUUAUAUAUAUAACUAACCUUUUCUAAGGUACCAUAUAAGAUGGUUAGUUUCGAUGGGGCGUCGGCAUCACAAAACAUAACUGAUGUGUCUAAAUGAUAUUUUUAUAUUCCCUUAUAUCUUAUUACUUCUUAGUUUUAAUUUAUAAGGUCAUCAUCUUUUUAAGAUAAUAAUAGAAUAAAUAAGUACAGAUACACUAGUAGGCAACUAGUAUAAAUUAAUAUAAUAUUUAUAUAAUAUAUAAUUAAUUUUUUAAUAAGGAUAAUAACAUAACUGUGCUAUGAUAAUGACACAUACUUGUGGAAUUAGUACUUAAGUAUAGUAUAUUGAACAGGCAAUAUCAUUAGAAUUGAGUGUCGAUUACGGAUUAAAGUUACGCUAGGGAUAACAGGGUAAUAUCGCUAGAGAGUUGAUAUCGUCAGCGAUGUUUGCCACCUCGAUGUCGUCUAGACUUAUCCUAUUGGUCGUAGAAGCUAAUAAGGGUACGACUGUUCGUCGUUUAAAAAGUUACUUGAGAUGGGUUAAUUACGACGUGAGUCAGUAAUGAUUUUAUCAUCUAUGACGUUAAUAGUAAUAUGUAAUUAUAUGUGUACGAAAGGAUUAUAUAAUAUAGUUCAAUGGUGAAGAGCUUUGAUUCUUAGCUAAAACUAUAAAGGAUAAAUAUUGAUAGCUUAUAAAAUAUUAAGCCUUACAUAUUCACUAUAUAAACAUUAAAGAUAAUAAUGUAAUAGUAAUAUAUCUAUGCUUUAUUAAUAAAGAGGAUAUAAUAAACUAAUAAAUUUAAUCAUUUUUAAUAACAAAUCAUGUCAUAUUAUUUAUAUAUAUAUAUUAUUAUAUAUUAUAG